rnacentral:rRNA from 1 species
GACGAACGCUGGCGGCGCGCCUAACACAUGCAAGUCGAACGAGAGAUGAAGAGCUUGCUCUUCAGAUCGAGUGGCGAACGGGUGAGUAACGCGUGAGGAACCUGCCUCAAAGAGGGGGACAACAGUUGGAAACGACUGCUAAUACCGCAUAAGCCCACGGCUCGGCAAUCGAGCAGNGGGAAAAGGAGUGAUCCGCUUUGAGAUGGCCUCGCGUCCGAUUAGCUAGUUGGUGAGGUAACGGCCCACCAAGGCGACGAUCGGUAGCCGGACUGAGAGGUUGAACGGCCACAUUGGGACUGAGACACGGCCCAGACUCCUACGGGAGGCAGCAGUGGGGAAUAUUGCACAAUGGGGGGGAACCCUGAUGCAGCGACGCCGCGUGGAGG